AUUGAACGCUGGCGGCAGGCCUAACACAUGCAAGUCGAACGAGUGGCGGACGGGUGAGUAAUGUCUGGGAAACUGCCUGCUGGAGGGGGAUAACUACUGGAAACGGUAGCUAAUACCGCAUACCAUCAGAUGUGCCCAGAUGGGAGUAGCUAGUUGGUGGGGUAACGGCUCACCAAGUCGACGAUCCCUAGCUGGUCUGAGAGGUUGACCAGCCACACGGGAACGGAGACAGGGUCCAGACCCCUACGGGAGGAAGCAGUGGGGAAUAUUGGAAAAUGGGGGCAAGCCUGACGCAGCCAUGCCGCGUGUAUGAAGAAGGCUUUCGGGUUGGAAAGUACUUUCAGCGGGGAGGCGUUACUCGCAGAAGAAGCACCGGCUAACUCCGUGCCAGCAGCCGCGGUAAUAC
rnacentral:rRNA from 1 species